rnacentral:rRNA from 1 species
GGAGGAUCCAAGCGUUAUCCGGAUUUAUUGGGUUUAAAGGGUGCGUAGGCGGCUUAUUAAGUCAGGGGUGAAAGACGGUGGCUCAACCAUCGCAGUGCCUUUGAUACUGAUGAGCUUGAAUACACUUGAGGUAGGCGGAAUGUGACAAGUAGCGGUGAAAUGCAUAGAUAUGUCACAGAACACCAAUUGCGAAGGCAGCUUACUAAAGUGUGAUUGACGCUGAGGCACGAAAGCGUGGGGAUCAAACAGGAUUAGAUACCCUGGUAGUCCACGCCCUAAACGAUGAAUACUCGAUGUUAGCGAUAUACAGUUAGCGUCUAAGCGAAAGCGUUAAGUAUUCCACCUGGGGAGUACGCCCGCAAGGGUG